GCCCCGAGCCCGAUGGCCGCAUAAAGCCUGCUGCUUUCACUGGCCCGGUGGGGGCCAGCAGGGUCAGGGCCCGCGGAAACCUUCAGCCUGGCAGGCUGGGAGGCCGCGGUGCUGCGCUGGGUCGGCGCGCUCCCCGGGUGGCGCUCAGGCCGGGCGCGUUCAUUUCAUCCACAGUCUGUCGGGAAGGCUUCCCGAACGCCUCCUCCCUGCCCGCCUUUGCGCAGGGCCGGGCUCUUCGGAAACUGAAGUCACGGGCCGCCCGGCCCCACCAGUCCUCGUGGGAUCCGGCCUGGGUUUACCUUCUAUGGGGAGGCCCAGGAGGGCCGGGCGGAGCGCCGGGGCGGGCGGGCGCUGACGUGGCUGGCGGCUCCCUCCACCCGCUCCUCCCGCGGGCACUGCCGAGGCCCGUGGGCGGGAAGCCGGGCGGCGGGCGGGACGUGGCUUCGGUCCCGGCCCUGCCCCGCCGCCACCGAGACUCCCAACGCCACCAACGUCGGAGUUGCAGUUUCUUUAGCUGUCAUAUGCAGACAAGUACUACCCACCUCGCCUUUGGAGUGAGCAGCAUCCCUGUGCCCAUCCCGCUAUGAUUCAGGAGUCUCGCAGAAGACAUUGGAAUGCCUUUCUCUGAGUCACAGUCUGUAUCUUCUAGAAAAGGCUGUCCAUCUUCACCCCGAGCCCACUGGCUCCUGAGAUACGACAUCCAGACCCAGUGCAGCUGGACCUGGCCCAGGAAGAUCAUGUGGUUUCUGGGAAGCACUGGAGAAGGAAAAGGCUGAAGAAAGGAAGACCGGAAAAGAAAUACAAGUCCUUCCGCCUUGGCAAAGAUGAUAGUACCGUUCCCUUUGGUGUUCCGAUUCUGCUCUAUUGGAUAAGUUCCGGUUUGACUAUGACUAUGUGAAAAUGUGGAACCAGACCUUCACCCCACAUUCCAGCUCCAGCUCUACCACAGAGGAAGUGCAAUAUCACCUUAGUUAUUCAACAAAUUAUGCUCCUCGUGAUACAACCAGAGUUCACAUCAGCAACCUUGGCAGCUCUCACCACGCUGCUGACUCACGACACUCUCAUGUCCCAAUUUCCUGUCCAUUGUUCUUUCCUCUACUUGGCCUGAUUUCUAAAGGCCUCUCUUGGUUGCGUUAAGCGGGAUUCCUGAGGGAUUCCCUCGGCAGUCACCUUGGGGGAGCCCUUAGGUUUGGGGCUGAUCCAUGUCCUCUAAAUGUAGGACUUCAAAGCUCCCAAAGACAGGCAGGCCCAGUGGGAAGCUGGGAAAUGCUGUCUGACCCCUCUGGGAGGGCUGGCAGUCAGAGCGCCUUUUGGAAAGAGUCAGACCCGAUCCAUAAGUCCCUGGAAAAAACCCUGCCCAGGGAGCAAAUGCCACUGUGGCCUUGACUGAGGCUUCAGAAGAGUUUGGGAGCUGCAAUUCAUCCACACACGCAUUCAUUUUCAAGUAGUGGUUUGCAGUUCAGGCUUUGGAGCCACAUAAGCCUGGCUUCAAAGCCGCUUUCCAGCUUGUGACUUUAGGAAGUCGCUACAUUUUUAAACUUCCAUUUUUUUUUCCUGUAAAACUGGGGUCUUCAUGGUACUUACUUCAUUGUGAUGUUGAGAGAAUGAAAAGAAAAAGGAUAAAUAAAUGGCUUAGCCUCGUGCCUUGGCA